AGCUCCAAUAGCGUAUAUUAAAGUUGUUGCAGUUAAAAAGCUCGUAGUUGGAUCUCGGGAGCCGGCGGGCGGUUCGCCUCGCGGUGUCUACUGCCCGCUCCGGCCCUACCUGCCGGUUCACCGCGGGUGCCCUUGGUUGGGUGCUCGCGGCGGCCGGCACGUUUACUUUGAAAAAAUUAGAGUGCUCAAGGCAGGCUCAAGCGCCUGAAUAAUGCUGCAUGGAAUAAUCGAAUAGGACCUCGGUUCUAUUUUGUUGGUUUUCUGAACCAGAGGUAAUGAUUAAGAGGGACGGCCGGGGGCAUUCGUAUUGCGGCGUUAGAGGUGAAAUUCUUGGAUCGCCGCAAGACGAACGACUGCGAAAGCAUUUGCCAAGAAUGUUUUCAUUAAUCAAGAACGAAAG
rnacentral:rRNA from 1 species